GUUCCAUGAGGUUGGACUUGACUCAAUGGACCCUUCCUAGUGCAGAUGAGAGCUACAUUUAUUGCUUACAGACAGUACUUGACAUGACCCAAAGCUGUUUGUAAUACAACUGCCUCACUAGGAGACUGCUUUUUCAGAAGUACUUUAAAGAACAUCAGAAAGGCUAUACUUGCUCAGAGUAAAGGUCCAUCUGGCUCAACAUCCUGUCCCUGGGCAGUGGCCAAGAAAGGAUGCCUGGGGCACAGCUAAACCACUUCUCCUUUGCUGCACACACCUUCAGGCUGAAUGUAAUGAGUGAGGAGGGAGGAUAAGGCCAGCCGCCCUCACAGUAUUUCUAGCAAGAAUGGGAGCAGGUCCUGCAGGAGCCCGUGCAUCGGCCUACUGAGCUCCCCAAGACUGGAAGACUGGAGCUGCUUGUGAAAUUAGUCCAGCUGACUGUGCACACGUGAGUACACCCAUGAUGGAUAUGGAUGCCAUGGAUAAGAACUGGACCGAGAUUCUCUAGGCUUUUUAUAUCAGUUACUGAAUAGAUGGUCUUUUACUUCCCCUACCAACUCUCUGGUUCCAGAGAGCUCUACUGGAUAUAUGCUGUGGAAAUCCAUUUUCAGGAGAUGAAAAUCUGAUGGAAGAGCCUAUGGCUCUUGAAGAAACAAAUAUACCUUUGUUAAACUGUGAGUGCCUGUGGAAAUGCUAGCAGAAAGUCUUUAACUGCCAUGGUAUUAAUAGGGUAGGAAGAACUUAUUAUUGUAAUAAUAACAAGAUGGUUCUCAAAGA